rnacentral:lncRNA from 1 species
UAAAGGCACAAGUUUAAUUAGGUAUUUCCAGAAUUCACGCACUAGGGAACUCUCUCAAAAAAAUCAGUGGCCUUCCAGCAUUAAAAUGUGUUUAAACAUGCUAGUGGAGAAAUUCUUAUACUAUUCUAAGGAUUAAACAGUAGAAAAACUUGAAAUAAUAAGAAGGUGAAAGAUAUAAAGGGUGCAUACCAGGGUCUGAUGAACUGUGCCAAACAGGCGAGUUUGGAGCAUGCCAAACCGGACAACUCAGUUACCGGCAUGAUUCAAAAGCUCGAAACAUGUUAUACAACCUUUCCCUUGGUCAGUCCAUCUUUGAGACCCUCGUUUGAAGCCUCCGUCCCCUCUGUUUGAAGCCAGAGAAAGAAGAGAAGCCAUGUUCGAAGCCAGAGAAAGGUUCGAAGCCUUGUUCGAAUCCUCCCUCCCCCUUCGAAACCCUCAGUCCCCAUCAAGCCUGUUUGAAGCCCUUAGUCGCCGUCGAUGACGACGAUGUACCAUCUGGCAAUCUAGGUGAGUCUCUCUCCCUCACUCUCCCCUCCCCUCUC